rnacentral:rRNA from 1 species
UACUCCCUCUGGCGGCGUGCUUAACACAUGCAAGUCGAACGGAAAGGCCCUGCUUGCAGGGUACUCGAGUGGCGAACGGGUGAGUAACACGUGGGUGAUCUGCCCUGCACUUCGGGAUAAGCCUGGGAAACUGGGUCUAAUACCGGAUAGGAGCCAUUUUUAGUGUGAUGGUUGGAAAGUUUUUUCGGUGUAGGAUGAGCUCGCGGCCUAUCAGCUUGUUGGUGGGGUAAUGGCCUACCAAGGCGGCGACGGGUAGCCGGCCUGAGAGGGUGGACGGCCACAUUGGGACUGAGAUACGGCCCAGACUCCUACGGGAGGCAGCAGUGGGGAAUAUUGCACAAUGGGCGCAAGCCUGAUGCAGCGACGCCGCGUGGGGGAUGACGGCCUUCGGGUUGUAAACUCCUUUCGCUAGGGACGAAGCUUUUUGUGACGGUACCUAGAUAAGAAGCACCGGCUAACUACGUG